rnacentral:tRNA from 1 species
AUAAAGUUAAUAAAAAGCUGCUAACUUUUUAAAAGCGAUUAGCUACUAAGUA